UACGUAGGUUGCGAGCGUUGUCCGGAUUUACUGGGCGUAAAGCGCGCGCAGGCGGUCCUGCAAGUCCACGGUGAAAGCUCCCGGCCCAACUGGGAGAGGCCCGUGGAAACUGCAGGACUUGAAGGCGGGAGAGGCAAAUGGAAUUUCCGGUGUAGCGGUAAAAUGCGUAGAUACCGGAAGGAACACCAGUGGCGAAAGCGAUUUGCUGGCCCGCCCUUGACGCUCAGGCGCGAAAGCUAGGGGAGCGACC
rnacentral:rRNA from 1 species